AAAAAAGGCCAUAGUAACACUUGCUCUCGCUCCUGAGAUGGUUGACCAAUCAGUGAUGAGAGUCAUCGCUUUGAUCUCCUGCCAAUCACUCGCGCUCAGACAGAAGAAAGGCACAGACUGCAGCAGCUGCAAAAAGGACCUUUCUUUAUCUUUUCUUUCCCAUUUUCAGACUUGUUGAAGUGAUGUGUGUAACGUGAGAACAACCACUUCAAAGUGAAAAGCAUCGCCCAAGUCACCACCUUCCUCCAAGGGCUCACCGAAUUUGAGUGGAAGACAUCAAACUAGUACGGACCACCCCACCAGAGCAUAAAUACUCUUGUCUGGAUUGGAGACCCCCAAGCAGAUGUGGAUCAGCAAGCAGAAGUACCAUGGGUUCGGCCCCUCCAUCAUCCUUCACAAAUCUUCUAAAGCUUCUAAACAAGACUGU